GGGAGUGGCUCAGUGGUAGAGCUCCACCUUGCCAAGGUGGUUGUCGCGGGUUCGAUCCCCGUCUCCC
rnacentral:tRNA from 1 species